GCCCUGAAUUUGAUCUAACCUUUAGAUUAUAUCGGUAGAGUUCAGAACUCAUCACUUUUUCAUGGGUUGAUGAUCUUCACUAUUGGUAAGUAUGGUAUGAAGCUCUCACUGAUUUUGAGCAGCCGCACAAGCAUCCGACCUCUACGGAUAGUUCACAUGAAGCCCCUCGGACCGAUCAGCCCUCCGCAGGAGUGCUAGCUCAUGCGGUCGGCUUCUGUUGGC
rnacentral:lncRNA from 1 species